ensembl:lncRNA
UUUUUCUUACCUCAGACCCCUACUUUAUAGGGUGCGCGUACUACCUACUUCAUAAAAGGGCUACACAGGCUGGUAACCAUGACAAAUAUUUCUGUUUAGACAUGCCAAAGACAGGAAGGCUUUCUUCUCCUCCUAUAUUUCCCAUGAGUUGGUACUUAAAGAGGCUGAUGAGCGAGGGCCUGUCCUGUCAUUUUGUUAUCUGCCUGCUCCCCUCCAGCCUUCGCUGGAAAGAUUUCGAGCACAGACGCGCUAUCAGAUCUGUGCUCCUGGAAAUGAGGAGUUUGUGCCGUGAACAGCAGUUACAUUCUAAUUAUAUUAAUUCAGACUGCAAUUUCUUUGAAAUAUAAAGGACCUGCUGUUGGGAUGGUGUGGACAAUGGAGGCUGAACAUGUCAACGACAUGACAAAUUCCUCGGAUGGAGUGCCAGAUCUAUUGUUGCCCAGGAUUCUUUUCUGAGAGCACAUUCAGCAAGCACUAUCAGUGUCAGCUCUGGAGCAAGGGAUUGGUUCAUUUGUUAUCUUUCCAAGUUGCAGGUAUAUUUGCCAGAAAAGUCUGCCAACAGAUGAAUUGGUAAUUAAAAUCAUUUCCACGGCUGGAGGAAUGAUUCAGAAAUUGGUCCUCUUUUUCUUUUCCUGUACAAGGAAACAACUUUGGUGAAUACUGAUAUCGACUCGCCGCAGACAAUAGUAGAACUCUGCGAUUCCCUAGUGCCUUGCUGCUCACUUUUGUGCCUGAAUCCCUUUACUGGGAUUUGUCCUUAAGGUUUUCUAACAGAAUUUUAAAGUUCUGUUCUUUGCUAGUGUUACAUCCUCCCUUGUCUUGUAAAAGCUCUUUGCAGUUGUUCACAAAAGCUAAUAGGGUUCAAAUACACCUCACAGUAUCCCUCAAUUCAGAAAAAGGGAUACUGUAUCUCUUCCCUAUGCCAGCUACUGUGCUAGAAUAAAUAAUAAGUAGUGGUGACAGAUGUACAAAUAUUAAGGAGUUCCCACUGUGGCGCAAGGGCUAAUGGUCUGGCUUGUCUCUGUGGAGGUGCUGAUUCGAUCCUGGCCUGGUACAGUGGGUUAAGGAGCCAGCGUUGCUGCAGCUGUGGUAUAAUUUGCAGCUCCAGCUCAGAUUCGAUCCCUGGCCUGGGAAAUUCCACAUGCCGUGGGUGAAGUUGAAAAAGGAAAAAAAUCAAAAUAUUAAAGCUGGUAAUAAAUUACAUACUAUAGAUGCUAGUUCAGUACCUGCCCCUCGUAGUUACUCAACAAAUACCAGUUUUACUAUUCUUCUCUCCUGUGCCCAGGAAGAGAGGCUCCUUUAUAAACAUCCACAUGGGUACACAGCACCGUUAUCACCAACACAACGACAACGAGAUCAACCAGCAUUUACUGCCAACAGUCUAGGCACUUUCAUUGAUUUUUUCCCUGAGUAUCUGUGAUGUUUUAUUCCUAUCGCACGGAUGAGGAAGCUGAGGCACAGGGAAGAAACGUGGGGGAGCUGACACAAUGAGGAAGGGCCAGAACAGAUGGGACCCAAGCAUCUGAGUCUCACGCUUCACAGUGUCACAUGACACCAUGGAAAUAAAUUAACUGCAAUGAUUUUCCCAGGCUAUGCAGUAGCGAAGUAAUCCGCUUAUAUUUUAAUACUCAUUUGCUUGCUGUGUUUCAUUUCUUCCUCCUUUUCUCCUCCCUCCUUCCUUCUUUUCUUCCUGCUCUUAUCUCUGUAUAAACAGCUGCUUCUGUUUUACUAGCAACAAAGCAAGGUUUUUCACCAUCCUCAGAGACUCAGGGGAAUCUUUCUAAGAGUCAGUAAGUGGAAAGUGUUUUAAGAUAAAAUGUUACACCACCACAAGAAGUACUUUCUUCAAGUCAAAACAGCAAAAUAGCGCAGAUUUUUAGACACUGGUGACCUAGAAGUUUACCGAAGAGUUAUUAAUAUAUACGUCUAUGCAUGUAUAGGCAUAUUUAUUUUUACAGUAGAGCAUUGAGGCAUAUCAAAUGACAUGAGGUCCUAGUCAUAGUGACAGUAAAAACAAAAAACAACAACGUGUGUUUACUUGAGAGGAUACCAGAGAGAAACGACUCAUUAUUCUGCAAGCUGGUAGACAAAGGCAAGGAACAAAGCAUUUGCCUUGGGGUUUUUUUUUUUAAUACGAUCUUCACUUCACAUAACCAAAACGGUACUGAGGGGGAGAAGUUUCUCCUUGAAGUAGAAGGAUCCUUGUGAAUAAAUAAAAAAGAGAUCAUUGAUAGAUACAUCCCAUUACAUAUUUAUCAAAACCUAUAGAACAUACGACACGAAGAGGGAAGGCUAAUGCAGAUGGUGGGUGCUGAGUGACAGUGACGCGUCAGUAUAGGUCCUCUCCUUGUCACAAUGUACCACUUUGGGCUGGAUGCUGAUGAUGGGAGAGGCUGAGGAGGUGGGGGAGUUGUGAGGGAGAAAGAAUAUGUGUGUACUUUCUACUCGAUUUUGCCAUGAGUCUAAAACUGCUCUAAAAAAUAGUCUGGUUUUUUUUAAAUCAUAAAAUCAGGAUGUCACAUCUUUGCCACAGCUAAUGAAAUAAGAGAUCCAAGCAAAAAUCCUCAAUUAUUGAUAACAUUACACACACACAAAUACAUUUCUCUUUAUGGAAAUACAUACCCCACCUUAUGGCACAGUCUUGCUAAAAACACAGAACCAGAAUCUGAUAAAACUUCUACCUCUAACUGUACAUGUAGAAAAUGCAUGGCAAGUACAAAGUACAAGAGCAUAAAUAUAUGGGAGAAUGCCUCAAGGGACAGAAUCAAGAAAAUUCAAGGAGUUCCUGUCGUGCUUCAGAGGUGAAUGAACAAGACUAGGUUCCAUGAGGACUCGGGUUCCAUCCCUGGCCUCGCUCAGUGGGUUAAGGAUCCGGUGUUGCUGUGAGCUGUGGUGUAGGCCGGAGGCUACAACUCCAGCUGGACCCCCUAGCCUGGGAACCUCCAUAUGCCACAGAAGUUCCCAUUGUGGCUCAGUGAUAAUGAACCCAACUAGUAUCCACGAAGACGUGGGUUCAAUCCAUGGUCUCACUUGGUGGAUUACAGAUCCGGCACUGCUGUGAGCUGUGGUGCAGGUCACAGAUGCAGUCUGGAUCUGGUGUUGCUGUGGCUGUAUUGUAGGCUGGAGGCUACAGCUCCAAUUUGACCCCUAGCCUGGGAACUUCCAUAGGCUGUGGGUGUGGCCCUAAAAAGAAAAACAAAAGAAACAAGCUGGAUCAUUAACCCAUGGUUCCACAGUGGGAACUCCUCCACCUGCACUUUGACAAGCAUUUUUUUUUUUUUAAUGAAAUGCAAAAAGCAUCAGAUUAUCUUCAAAACUAAAUAAUUCUAAACCGCCACUUUCCCCGACUCAUUCCAACUCUUUGUGAUCAUUCUCUUUCGGCUUUGUAUCCUUCUUCUACUUAUCCUCACCACUCCGAAAGACCAGAGUUUAAAAGAAGAAAAAAAAAAAAAAAACUCACAGACGGGAAGAACAGGGGUCCAGAGGCCAGAAAAAAUUAGAUCGC